AGUGUCCCUUGAGGUGGUUAGACCUAUGGGUUCUAGCCAAGUUUCCGUCAUUGGCCACCUGUACAUUGUGAUUGGUCUUCAUGAGUAUGGAGGCGGGAUUGGAUUGCGGAGUAUAAGUGGCUUGGUCUGGUGUCAGGAGGGGCUCUUUCUACUCUUUCCUUGGCUCACAGGCUUUACUCUACCCCUUCCUCCCACUUGCUCCCUCUCUCUGGCUCUGGCUUUUUGCUUCUCUGUCUGAUGAUUUCUCUCUCUCUCUCUCCCUCAUGGCUUUUUUGUAAUAAAAAGUUAAACACCUCCCGAUCCACUCGUCCUUUCGUGUAUCCGGGUAGGCUCUGAAGACUCGUGGAACACCAUGCACAGACCUCACCCUUCAGCAGUUUCGUGCGUAUUACGGAGCAGAGGUUGCCAAUUUCAGUAUCCGUUCAAGUCGUGGAACCGGAUGUGAUGUGAUGAGAUAUCGGUUCCAGAGACAGGCGAUUACACCUCAAGGUUACGGAUUUCUUGGUGUUUUGAAGAUAAAGUAUGAGCUGCAGUGAAGGGAGUGGAACUCGGUCUGCCAGUGUUUUGCUUGCAGACUAAAGACUGUAAUUUAACCAAUGCCAUUGGGGCUGAGGCCCUUCCUGUGAAUGUGACUGUGUUCCUGGUGGGCAUAAGACAUGUUACUUACCUGAGUGCCUUAAGCCCGAAUGACUGGUAUAGCUCCAAGGCAGAUUAGUAUAUAGCACGCAUGGCCAACGCCUUAGACAGGAAAAAACGAGACUUUCUAGGUGCCCUUGCUUUGGGGGCAAGCAUUUUUGAAGAGUUUCAAAUACAGGACUUGUAUGCUGAAAAUGAGAUUUUAGCUUCACAAAUAGAGCAACAAGCACGACUUCUACAAGAAGCUCUUGAAAGACAGGUGCAGAUAGAUCAACAACUGGAAUUUCAGAUCCAGGCACUGGCCAGAGUGACUCGCCAGCUUAGUAAUGAGUUGCUUUGGCAGGAAUUAUUGAAUCAACUCCCUUGUGAUGGAAGAUACCUGACCGCCUGCGUGACCCCUUUACAGUCAAGCUGUAAUGAUACUAUCAUCAAUGAGACACGCGUGUCUCAUUGGUGUGAGCAACAGGCAACUUUGAGUGCCAUUCAAUCCACUAAUAUGACUUUGGAGAUACAGGCGUUGAGACGAUUGGUAGAAUUGUCUAAGAACACCACAACAUAAAUGCAUGACAAUUCUAAUGAUGCCAUUAAGAAGAUUACAGACCGGAUGGGACAUGUGUACUCUCCAGUGGCUGGGUGGUUGGGACAUCUUAUUUCCCUUGGGUUCGCUAUCAUUUUCCUUUUUCUCCUGUUACCUUCCCUUCUUGUGUGUUUUGUGCAUUUGCUUAAAUCUGCUAUUGUGCAACUUUAGGCAGAAUUUGUGGUGAUGAGACCACGACCUCACCGUCCUUAAACAAAAAAGGGGGAGUUGUUAGGGCCCACCGUUCUGGGCUGGUCACGAAUAUGUCCACGAUGUGAUACUCAUCCUCCUAACAGAAUGAGAGUUACGCAUACGUAUGGGUUGACCUGACAUGGUUGAGGCGGCAGAGUACUGGACUGUUGCCACGACUCCAUCGACAAGCCCACUCAGUGUCCUUUGAGGUGGUUAGACCUAUGGGUUCUAGCCAAGUCUUCGUCAUUGGCCACCUGUGCAUUGUGACUGCUCUUCACGAGUGUGGAGGCAGGAUUGGAUUGCAGAGUAUAAGUGGCUUGGUCUGGUGACGGGAGGGGCCCUUUCUACUCUUUCCUUGGAUCGCACGCUUUACCCUACCCGUUCCUCCCACUUGCUCCCUCUCUCUGGCUCUGGCUUUUUGCUUCUCUGUCUGAUGAUUUCUCUCUCUCUCUCCCUCAUGGCUUUUUAGUAAUAAAAAGUUAAACACCUCCUGA